rfam:Thelazia callipaeda genome assembly, scaffold: TCLT_contig0001136
CAAACGGUCCUAUUUAGGACCACUAAUAUAUGAUUCGUGCUAUG